UGCAUAUCCAAUAAGCUGAGGAAAAGAAACCAACCGGGAUUGCCUUAGUAACGGCGAGUGAAGCGGCAAAAGCUCAAAUUUGAAAUCUGGCGUCUUCGACGUCCGAGUUGUAAUUUGAAGAAGGUAACUUUGUAGCUGGUCCUUGUCUAUGUUCCUUGGAACAGGACGUCAUAGAGGGUGAGAAUCCCGUGUGGCGAGGAUCCCAGUUAUUUGUAAAGUGCUUUCGACGAGUCGAGUUGUUUGGGAAUGCAGCUCUAAGUGGGUGGUAAAUUCCAUCUAAAGCUAAAUAUUGGCGAGAGACCGAUAGCGAACAAGUACAGUGAUGGAAAGAUGAAAAGAACUUUGAAAAGAGAGUGAAAAAGUACGUGAAAUUGUUGAAAGGGAAGGGCAUUUGAUCAGACAUGGCGUUUGCUUCGGCUUUCGCUGGGCCAGCAUCAGUUUUAGCGGUUGGAUAAAUCCUCGGGAAUGUGGCUCUGCUUCGGUAGAGUGUUAUAGCCCGUGGGAAUACAGCCAGCUGGGACUGAGGAUUGCGACUUUUGUCAAGGAUGCUGGCGUAAUGGUUAAAUGCCGCCCGUCU
rnacentral:rRNA from 1 species